AGUUAGGUGGCGCAGCUAACGCAUUAAGUUAUCCGCCUGGGAGUACGGCCGCAAGGUUAAAACUCAAAGAAAUUGACGGGGGCUGCACAAGCGUGGAGCAUGUGGUUUAAUUCGAAGCAACGCGCAGAACCUUACCAACGUUUGACAUCCCUAUCGCGGUUACCAGAGAUGUUUCCUUCAGUUCGGCUGGAUAGGUGACAGGUGCUGCAUGGCUGUCGUCAGCUCGUGUCGUGAGAUGUUGGGUUAAGUCCCGCAACGAGCGCAACCCUCGUCCUUAGUUGCCAUCAUUAAGUUGGGCACUCUAAGGAAACCGCCGGUGAUAAGCCGGAGGAAGGUGGGGAUGACGUCAAGUCCUCAUGGCCCUUACGCGUUGGGCUACACACGUGCUACAAUGGCGACUACAGUGGGCUGCGACCGUGCGAGCGGAAGCUAAUCUCCAAAAGUCGUCUCAGUUCGGAUUGUUCUCUGCAACUCGAGAGCAUGAAGGCGGAAUCGCUAGUAAUCGCGGAUCAGCAUGCCGCGGUGAAUACGUUCCCAGGCCUUGUACACACCGCCCGUCACACCAUGGGAGUUGGGUUCACCCGAAGGCGUUGCGCUAACUCAGCAAUGAGAGGCAGGCGACCACGGUGGGCUUAGCGACUGG
rnacentral:rRNA from 1 species